rnacentral:rRNA from 1 species
AACAUAACCUUUAGCCCAAACAAAUAUUAAAGGCAACGCCUGCCCAGUGAACAAUUAAACGGCCGCGGUACCCUAACCGUGCAAAGGUAGCGUAAUCACCUGUCUAUUAAUUGUAGACCCGUAUGAAUGGCAAAAUGAGGGUCUAUCUGUCUCUUAUAGUAAAUCAAUUAAACUGAUCCCCCAGUCCAAAAGCUGGGAUACAAACAUAAGACCAGAAGACCCUGUGAAGCUUAAACUAAAGUAUUAAAACACAUAACACCUCCUUUCGGUUGGGGCGACCUUGGAAAAAAAAAGAACUUCCAUACUGUUGACUACCCACAACAACCCAGGCUGACAAGCCAAAUAUGACCCAGCAUAGCUGACCACAGAACCAAGUUACUCCAGGGAUAACAGCGCUAUCUUCUUCAAGAGCCCAUAUCAAAAAGAAGGUUUACGACCUCGAUGUUGGAUCAGGACAUCCUAUUGGCGCAGCCGCUAUUAAGGGUUCGUUUGUUCAACGAUUAAUAGUCCUACGUGAUC